CCCUUAGAUGUUCUGGGCUGCACGCGCGCUACACUGAUGCGCUCAACGAGUUUACGACCUUGCCCGGAAGGGUUGGGUAAUCUUUUUAAAACGCAUCGUGAUGGGGAUAGAUUAUUGCAAUUAUUAAUCUUUAACGAGGAAUUCCUAGUAAGCGCGAGUCAUCAGCUCGUGCUGAUUACGUCCCUGCCCUUUGUACACACCGCCCGUCGCUCCUACCGAUUGAAUGGUCCGGUGAAAUCUUCGGAUUGCUGGAUAGGAGGGCAACCACCUAUCUGCGAGAAGUUGCUUGAACCUUAUCAUUUAGAGGAAGGAGAAGUCGUAACA
rnacentral:rRNA from 1 species